UAGUCCACGCUGUAAACGAUGUCAACUAGCCGUUGGGAGCAUUUUGGCUCUUGGUGGCGCAGCUAACGCGAUAAGUUGACCGCCUGGGGAGUACGGUCGCAAGAUUAAAACUCAAAGGAAUUGACGGGGAUCCGCACAAGCGGUGGAACAUGUGGUUUAAUUCGAUACUACGCGAGAAACCUUACCUGGGUUUGACAUGCUUGAGACGUAGGCAGAAAUGUCUAUUUCAUAGAGUAAUCUAUGACUCUUGCACAGGCGUUGCAUGGCUGUCGUCAGCUCGUGUCGUGAGAUGUUAGGUUAAGUCCUUUAACGAGCGCAACUCUUGUCGCUAGUUGCUACUCCACUAGAUGGAGGCACUUUAGCGAGACUGCUUAGGAAACUAAGAGGAAGGAGGGAAUGAUGUCAAGUCCUCAUGACCCUUAUGUCCAGGGCCACACACGUGUUACAAUGGGUAGAACAAAAAGUCGCAAUUCCGCGAGGAGGAGCUAAUCCUACUAAAA
rnacentral:rRNA from 1 species